rnacentral:rRNA from 1 species
AUUGAACGCUGGCGGCAUGCCUUACACAUGCAAGUCGAACGGUAACGCGGGGCAACCUGGCGACGAGUGGCGAACGGGUGAGUAAUGCAUCGGAACGUGCCCAGUAGUGGGGGAUAGCCCGGCGAAAGCCGGAUUAAUACCGCACACGACCUACGGGUGAAAGCGGGGGACCGUAAGGCCUCGCGCUAUUGGAGCGGCCGAUGUCAGAUUAGGUUGUUGGUGGGGUAAAAGCCUACCAAGCCGACGAUCUGUAGCUGGUCUGAGAGGACGACCAGCCACACUGGGACUGAGACACGGCCCAGACUCCUACGGGAGGCAGCAGUGGGGAAUUUUGGACUAUGGGGGCAACCCUGAUCCAGCCAUGCCGCGUGCGGGAAGAAGGCCUUCGGGUUGUAAACCGCUUUUGUCAGGGAAGAAACGCUCUGGGCUAAUACCCCGGGGUAAUGACGGUACCUGAAGAAUAAGCACCGGCUAACCACGUGCCAGCCGCCGCAGUAAGAC